GACGAACGCUGGCGGCGUGCUUAACACAUGCAAGUCGAGCGAGGCCCCUCCUUCGGGAGGGUGUCCUAGCGGCGAACGGGUGAGUAACACGUGGGCAACCUGCCCUCAGCUCUGGGAUAACUCCGGGAAACCGGGGCUAAUACCGGAUACGACCUCCACGGGCAUCUGCGGAGGUGGAAAGUUUUUCGGCUGAGGAUGGGCCCGCGGCCUAUCAGCUAGUUGGUGGGGUAGUGGCCCACCAAGGCGACGACGGGUAGCCGGCCUGAGAGGGCGACCGGCCACACUGGGACUGAGACACGGCCCAGACUCCUACGGGAGGCAGCAGUGGGGAAUAUUGCGCAAUGGACGAAAGCCUGACGCAGCGACGCCGCGUGAGGGACGAAGGCCUUCGGGUUGUAAACCUCUUUCAGCAGGGACGAAGCGAAAGUGACGGUACCUGCAGAAGAAGCACCGGCCAACUACGUG
rnacentral:rRNA from 1 species